UACGUAGGGGGCUAGCGUUGUCCGGAAUCAUUGGGCGUAAAGCGCGUGUAGGCGGCCCGGUAAGUCCGCUGUGAAAGUCCAGGGCUUAACCCUGGGAUGCCGGUGGAUACUGUCGGGCUCGAGUCCGGAAGAGGCGAGUGGAAUUCCUGGUGUAGCGGUGAAAUGCGCAGAUAUCAGGAGGAACACCAAUGGCGAAGGCAGCUCGCUGGGACGUGACUGACGCUGAGACGCGAAAGCGUGGGGAGCAAACAGG
rnacentral:rRNA from 1 species